rnacentral:rRNA from 1 species
UACGUAGGGUGCAAGCGUUAAUCGGAAUUACUGGGCGUAAAGCGUGCGCAGGCGGUCUGUUAAGACCGAUGUGAAAUCCCCGGGCUUAACCUGGGAACUGCAUUGGUGACUGGCAGGCUUUGAGUGUGGCAGAGGGAGGUAGAAUUCCACGUGUAGCAGUGAAAUGCGUAGAGAUGUGGAGGAAUACCGAUGGCGAAGGCAGCCUCCUGGGCCAACACUGACGCUCAUGCACGAAGCGUGGGAGCAAACAGGA